CAAUGCAUUUGGAAAAGUAGUGUAUGAGCGAUGUUCACUACACAAGCAAUAUAUCCCAUCAUGCAUCGCGGUUCAAACAGAAGAAAUGCUGACAGACAGGACCGCGAAGGCGCAUGGCGGGAGCUGACUUACAAAUAAAUAUGCUGAAAGGAAUGAAGCUGGCUGACCUAGUUAGUCCUGCAAGAGCGGCAAAGAAGUGGGAGCAUCUCAAGAAAAUGUACAAGUCAUGAUCACCCAGAGCUGGCAGAUUUUCAACCAGGGCUGAAAGGACAGCAGCCAUGCGUACAAGCAGCCGCUCCCCACACUGCGAGUCAGGCUGAAGCUGGCCAUCACCAUCAUCCGGCCUCAGUGCCUCUUCAACUGGCUCCAUUGCAUCUCCAUUCCUGAGGCAGAAAUUGUGGAGGAUGGCACAACAAGCCACCACCUCCACAGAGAACACAGGGCUCAUUUCUAGGGCCUUGAAAAAGACGUAGCAUCAUCUAGCUUUCAUGAUUCCAAAGGCCCACUCGAUAACUGAAUGGGCCUUUGAAUGGUGCCGGUUAAAUCUGGCUUCCACUGCACCUCUCACAGGCUCCCUGUAGGGGGUUAUUAGGGUGAUUGGCUGUGACACACAGGGAUAUCCCCCAUUACCCAAAAUACAGUAGCCUUCAGGUGGGAACAGGCUCUGUACAAAGAGUGGGCUGUUCUUUAAAACCCUCGAGUCAUGUACUGACCCAGGGUACCCAAUAUAACAUCUCCACAGGGUAGAACAAUUUUUUAUUAAAAUAACAUUGAGCAUCAUCACUUGGAGGCUUGAUUCUUUUGUGGCAGCCAUCAAUGCUGCCAACAACAUGACUGAAAGCUGCAGAUUCUGCCAGGUUUCCAAGCCUGCACCAAUUCUUGCUAGGUCAUCUUGGGGUGGCAAGCAGAUGACCCUGUUCUUUAGCCCAAUGACUGUCUCUGAAACCCUGUGCACAAUGUCAUGUAUAGUUGAGCGGGGAAUGCCAAAGGCUUGUGAAACCACCCGGUAAGACGUGGCACUUGCCAACCAAAACAAAAAAACAAGGAUCUCCAGAUCAAAUCCCCAGCCGUGGUCUGAUGGUGAGCGCAGGAUGUCAACGAGGUGGAGUAUGGUGGGUCUGGAGAGGCAGAAGUCAAGACGGAGGUCACUUUGGCCAUCAAAGUACAUGGCCAGAACUGGAACAUGGCGGUUCACUCUGCAGUACUGAGAUUGAUGUCUAAACUGUCAAUAAAGAUAUUGAUUCUCAUAA